rnacentral:rRNA from 1 species
AUGGAGGACGAGGAGCACGAGGUGUACGGCCAGGAGAUCCCCGUCGACGGCGAGGACGUCGACAUGGGUGCCGGGGGCGACGACGCCGCCAAGGUUCGUGAUGCGCCCGCCGCCGCCGCCGCGGCUCGCUCGGCCCCUCUCUCCCGGUUCCGCACCCCAAACCCUAACGCCGGUACUGACCCUGUUCGUGUCCAGCUGCACGAGCUCGACGAGAUGAAGCGCCGCCUCAAGGAGAUGGAGGAGGAGGCCGCCGCCCUCCGCGAGAUGCAGGCCAAGGUCGCCAAGGAGAUGCAAGGUGGAGAUCCUAACGCGACCACAUCUGAAGCAAAAGAAGAGAUGGAUUCUCGUUCUGUUUUUGUUGGAAAUGUUGACUAUGCAUGCACUCCAGAAGAAGUGCAGCAGCAUUUCAAUUCUUGCGGAACCGUCAACCGAGUGACUAUCCUGACCGACAAGUUUGGGCAGCCUAAAGGUUUUGCUUACGUCGAAUUUGUUGAAGCAGAAGCUAUUCAGGAAGCUGUCAAGCUGAGUGAGUCAGAGCUUCAUGGUCGGCAAAUCAAGGUAGCGCCUAAGCGGACUAACGUUCCUGGGUUGAAGCAGCCCCGAGGGGGCCGAGGAUUCAACCCAUAUGGCGGCCACCCCUACAUGAGGCCAUAUCCUCCACCGUUUUACAAUCCUUAUGGUGGUUAUGGGUAA